UACGUAGGUCCCAAGCGUUGUCCGGAUUCACUGGGUAUAAAGGGUGCGUAGGCGGCCUUGUGCGUCAGAGGUGAAAUAUCCGGGCUCAACCCGGAGGGUGCCUUUGAUACGGCGAGGCUUGAGUGCGAGAGAGGAUGAUGGAAUUCCUGGUGUAGCGGUGAAAUGCGUAGAUAUCAGGAGGAACACCGGUGGCGAAGGCGGUCAUCUGGCUCGUAACUGACGCUGAGGCACGAAAGCGCGGGGAUCAAACAGG
rnacentral:rRNA from 1 species